rnacentral:rRNA from 1 species
AACGAACGCUGGCGGCGUGGAUUAGGCAUGCAAGUCGAACGGUCUCUUAGCUUUUUCGAGAGGCAGUGGCGAAAGGGUGAGUAACACGUGGGAAACCUGCCCUAGAGUUUGGGAUAACCCCGCGAAAGCGGGGCUAAUACCGGAUACGUUGCAUUUCUGAAAUGAGAUGCAGGAAAGAUGGGGACUUCUUCGGAAGCCUGUCACUCUUGGAUGGGCCCGCGGCCUAUCAGCUAGUUGGUGAGGUAAUGGACUCACCAAGGCAAAGACGGGUAGCUGGUCUGAGAGGAUGGUCAGCCACACUGGAACUGAGACACUGUCCAGACAUCUACGGAUGGCUGCAGUCGAGAAUCUUUCGCAAUGGGGAAACCCUGACGAAGCGACGCCGCGUGCAGGAUGAAGGUCUUCGGAUUGUAAACUGCUGUCGGCUGGGAGAAAAAGUUGCUAAUGAACAAUUAGCGACCUU